UUCAUGAGCACCUGAUCCCCCAAUUAAGCUUUCCACCUGCAGAGGCCAAGCUUCCAUCCCGCUCAAUUUCUCUCCCCAACCCUCUCCACAGCUGACAGUGUAUUCUGUGACCAGAGAAUGAACACAGCAGAUUCCAUCAAGAAUCUGAAUUUUGUGAGAAGCCCAGUAUUCUUGAGGUUACCAGGGCAACCUCUGAGGCUUGGAUGAAGGUGUUAGCAAUGUGUCACCAGGUAAAAGACUUUUAUUGGGUUCAGGGGCAGAAUACAAAUCUCAGACUGGGAAUUCUGUGUGAAUAAUGUGAGUCAUGUAGGGUGGGCUAAAGGAAGGAAGACUCAUUCUCCCCUGUGCACUACAGGACAAGACGAUUGUGAGAGAGAUGCUGUUUGAAGAAGGCUGAGUGUUUCAUCUGAAUCAUCGCCUGUUGGACAGUCCUUUGUGGAUCAUAAUCCUCUCUGAUGCGGCUAUCAGCCAAAAUGGUGCUGUCAACAUUUAUGUCAACGCCGAGUGCUCAUCAUCUUUGUCAUUGUGCCUACCCUCCUGAACUCCACCUGGGAUCAUCAUCAGCAAAGCAACUGCAAAACUGGCUUUUCUCACACAGCCUUAUACAAGCAGUAAACAGUGGAUCUCAGGGGAUAACUCUGUGUCAUAUAAUUUACUGCCCAAUUUUGCUAACCCAUGAGGUUUAGCUGCUAGUCUUUUUCAGAGCUUCAAAUAAGCUUACAAGUUUGGGGCUAUUUAUCUAUAAUAAACUUUUAAAUAUUCAGCAUGAAAAAACCCCCAGCAUUUUCAGCUUUGAGUGCAUUGAUGGAUAUUCUUUGAGGAUUUCAGAGGAAAAGGCGUUUGGUAUACAGAGGAUGUUGUAUUAUUCUAGCUUUCUGUUACUGCCUAAUAUUUACAGUAAAAAGUAUACCAUUGCAGAGCCAAAAGAGACCUUGGAGAUAAUCUGAUUUAAUGAGCUCAUUUUGUAGAAAGGUCUGAAUAGGAGUUACCCAAGAUCACACAGUUAUUUAGUAGAAGAAUUGAAAUGAGAAUCAGGCUUUAUAACUCUGCACAGGCAUAUACUCCAUUCAGAAACUGAAUUGAAUUUCCUCCAACAGAAGCCCAGAGCCAUUCUACAAAAGAAGUAAAAAGCAAGAUAUUUUUCAAUAGCUUUACACUGUCUACAAAACACACAGCCAAAGGAGAUGUUUCCUUUUGACUACGUAUGAUCCUAACCUUAACUGAAUCCAUAGAAUAGAAAAUGUGCUAUGCUCCAGUCUAGCAUAGAAAACUUGAUGAAGGUGGUUGUAGAGUUGAGUAUUGAAUGGUAGCCAGAGGAUGAGAAUGGACAGAUGUCAUGCUGUGUGAUAAAAAUGUAACCAUGCAUGGCCAUGCAUGUGGACAAUGGUAAUGAAGCCAUAUGAGAACAUAACAUUGACAGAAUUAUACAUUGUCCUAAUCUGUCAUUAAUAUGGCUAAAAUAGUCAUGGUAUGAGGAAAAAAGAUUUC
rnacentral:sRNA from 1 species